CCUCUCCUCUCCACCUCCCCCACCGCCGCAGCCUCCCUUCCUCCCGUCCGCCGCCUCCUCCCCUCCUCUCCCCGCCUCGCCGGCGCCGUCUCCACUCUUCCCCGCCACCGCGACCCUCCCUCCUCUCCCCGCUCCGCUGCAUCCUCCUCCCCUCCUCACCUCAUCCCCACGCCUCCUCCCUCCACGGGGGCACUGCGUGCAACGGGGCCAGCGCAACGCCGAACGGAGGAGGUAUGGAGAGAAGGCUGUGGUCCUCGGCCGCGUCCUCGUCAUGGGCGGCGCACCUGCUCCUGGAGGUGUGCACGCGCGUGAUGUGCCGGUGGUGCGGCCAGAAGCUCCACCCCGUCAAGGUCAUCGAGUGCCGCAAGGGCUCCUCGUCCUCUUCCCCCACCGACUACAAGUACUACGUCCACUACACGGAGUGUAAGGACCCUCCCUGCCUCGCAUCCCAAUCCCAUCAGGAGGUUUCGUGUCUAGGGUUAGGUUUUGGGCUCUUACAGAUUUGGGGAAAUCUGGAUUUUACAGCUCAUUGGUCAAUUGGGUGUAGAGCCAUUCAAUUUAGGCCUUUUUGUGAUGAACUGAGCUUUCAGUUUUCAUUCCUUUGCACAUUUCAGCAAUGAUCAUCAGGUGGUUGAGAAUUUUAGUAUAAUCAGUCUCCUAUUCCUACCGACAAUUCUAAUUAGAAAUUGGGACCAGUCUCUUGUAAUAGCCACAGCCUGUUCGGAUAUUGGUUCCUUUAAGAUAUUAAUUUAGUUUGAGCUCUAAUGGUUAAUAUUAGUUUGUACCAUAGCCAUAUUUGUUAAUUCUAGCUGGGGCAUAUGACAACAAGUGUCUGACUGUAUUAUUUCAGAUGACUUUAACUGGGAAUCUAUUCAGAGUAUCUCACUAGAAGCCUUUCAUUCCUUGCAGAUUUAACUGGAAAAAGAAGUAAAGCUCCUGCUUUCAGAUAGUUUGUUACAGUUUUUCAGUAAUCAAAGUUGAUAGGUUGGAUUUCAGUAAUCAUCAUUUCCUGAAAUUAUUCAUUGAAUUAUUGAGAUUAUAUUUCCUGCUGUUCUCUAUAUCCAUAGAUUUAAUGCUCUUAUCUGAAUUACUAAUUUCAUCUGAUCUCUUGAUCAGGUAAACAACACAAUAAUAUGAUUCCCUGUUUUAAAAAACGUUUUAAAACUACGUUUAAUCUUGAUUAAACUCUAAACUUUGGCCUAGCAUUGCGUUCAAUCACAGUGUUGUUUAAUCACAAAAGACGUUUAAUCUACGUUUAAUCACAAAAAACUCUAAACCAUAGGCUAGCGUUCACCUAGCGUCUAGUGUUUUUUAAAACCUUGAUUAUGAUUGAAAUGGCAGAAACUCAUCCAUCCAAUAAAGCUCUGGUAAGAUAUAUAUUGUCCUCAUGUUUCUAGCAUGCGUUGGCAUCAUGGUAAGAUGCUUGAUUCAUAUAUACGAUAGAAAACAUGAUUUGAUUAAAUCUAAUUUUUGAACUAUCAAUCAAAAGCUCUGGCAGCAGGAUACAUCUCAUAUAUGUCGACAGUAGGCCUAAGAUGCAUUUCAUGCUUGUAUCAGGUGUCCACAUGAGAUGAGGACAUGUGUUGGCACUAUCCUCUGGUAUGUGGAAUUAUCGUGUGCUGCCAGCAGAGGACACAAGUCCUGAAUGGUUGCUCAUGCUGGUGAAUGGGCACCCAGCAGAGCAACUGGUGGAUGAAAAAGGUAAAGAGAGCCUCCUUGUCAUGGAGAGAAAGGAGGUAAAACAUCAUGAACAAACUGUACACAAGAGAUGGGUUCCACCCCUUACUGGUACUCUCAAAAUUAAUGUUGAUGUUGCCUUUAAACCUGAAAUAGAGGAUGUCGUAUUGUGGUUGUUGUGUGAGAUUAUGAAGGCCAUCCUAAACUCAGCCUGGUGGAUCCUGUUUCAUUGCAGGCAUGCCGAGGAAGCAGAAAUGGCAGCAUGCCUUGAGGGCAUCAGAUUGGCAGCGGGGUGGCCCAUUUCUUUUCCAGUAUUUCUUUUUUUUUUUGCCAGCAAAAGGGAGAGCAUUUUUCAUUUGUCCUUGUCUAUCAGUAAAUAGCAUUGGUCAUUUAAACUCAUAUAUAUAUAUAUACUGCCUAUUUACAUAAAUACAUGUAUGUCUACAUACAUGUCCAGCUCUGAUUUCCUCUAAACUCAUGUCUACAUACUUGUCCAUCUCAGCAAAAGAAUCCUAAUAUUCUUUUACACAUAACACAUAUAUAAUGUCUUAAGGUGUGAAUAACAAUCCAUUUGCUUUCGCUUGUGUCAGAUGGAUGACUAGGUGAACAUGUUUGAUUCGAAGCAAUUCUUGGGUGAAUUACCAGCUUUUAUUUCAAUAGUCCUUGAGAAGAUCACUUCCUUUCCUGGUUUGAAGAAAUGUACUACCAGAUUAGUUGAUCAAUUAACGGGAAGGGUUUAUUUCCUCAGCCUUACAACUAUUGGGGUCUGGUUGGGUUUGGGUUUGUCGUGAAGAGAAAUGAGAGAAAGCUUUCAGUGGUUCAUACAAGAAAUGCCAUCUCCCCACUUGCUUUGUACGAUAUUAUAUACUAGACUGUUUUUUCCCUUGAUGUAUACAGUGAAUUUGUAUGAGUUCAAUAGAUUAGGAUUGCAUUUGUAAUGUAUACAGUGGAUAAAAUAUGUGAUUUUGUGAUGUAAAGAAUGAUAAAAUAUGUGUAUAUAUGGUGUAUAUAAGGGUAUAUUUUGUUAUGCUUUU